rnacentral:lncRNA from 10 species
GCGGUGUUGCGCCUGCGUAGCCGGCGGGCUGGCAGUGAGACUGACUGCGUCGGGGUUGAGACUGGGUGGAUGAGGCUCACCCCGGCGGGGAGAAGGGACGAGGAGGGGCGGACAGCGGAAGGUCCGGGAGUGUCCGCCAUAAAGUCGUUUGAGUUUUAACUUCUAGUCAUGGCGAAUGAUCGCAGGAGAGCACAGACUGGACCCUGCUACGAUCUCUCUUGGAGUGGAUCAGACUGAUGAUCACCAACAACCAACUCAUUCCCGGAUAAGGAAGAAGAGAGUGUCACCUACUUCAGUGUGGUUUCAACCCUACUUCUGCAUCUUAAAGACACUGUAUGGUUUCAGCAGUAGUGCCCCUGUUCAUUAGUCCCCCUGAUGUUUUCAUUCCUCAUCUCAUCUUUUUCUUAGCAGCAUUCAAUGAAUCCUUCAUUCUAGAAACACUCUAUAUCUUUGGUUUUCAUGAGACCAUUCUCACCUUGUUUUGUCCUGUGACUUUUUUGAAAAAAACAAAAACAAAAAACCCUUUUUUUCUUUUUAAAUUCUGGUAAAAAACACAAUGAAAAUUUGCUAUCUUAACCAUGUUGAAAUGUGCAGUUAGUAAAGUACAUUCACAUUGUGGUGCAAGCCAUCACUACCAUCCAUCACUAGAACCCUUUUCAUCUUGCAGAUCUGAAACUCUACCCAUUAAACGACUUCCCAUCUUCCCAUCCCCACAGCUCCUAGCAACCAACAUUCUACUUUCUCUAUCAGUUUGACUACUCUAGGUACCUCAUAUGAGUAGAAUCAUACAGCAUUUAUCCUUCUCUGCCUGGCUUAUUUCACUUGUAUAAUGUCCUCAAGGUUCAUUCAUGUUGUAGCAUGCAUCAGAACUUCCUCCCCUUUUAAAGGCUGGAUAAUAUUUCAUGGUAUGUUUAGAUCACAUUCUGUUUAUCCAUUCAUCCAUCAGUGAACACUUGUGCUCCUUCCAACUUUGGGCUGUUGGGUGUCCUGCCACUGUUGCUCCUAGUGCUCAAUCUCGUUUAUUCCCUCCUAAUCAAGUGUACAACGUUGGACACUGUGCAGGAUGAUGCCACUUCAUCUUGGAUGCUAAUCUGCCAUGUUGACUUCUGAUUAACCCCAGGCCCAGGAAUGCCUCAAGAUUUCUACUUUACUUACUGUUGCUUGUGUAAGCCAAGACAACCUUGAUGUUAUCAUAAACAUGUACUUACCUAAGUCCUGUCCUUUGGCAAAUUAUGGGCUAUGAGACACAGCAUUCUUGCCUUUCCCUGAGGGGUCAAUUUCAGCGAUCCUACACAUUCCUUCUGAAGCACUUAUGCUCUUUCUAUAUGGUAUGUAAGCUCUCGGUCUGGGGAGUAACAGUGCAGAGAUCUACCUGUCUUGUUGCCACAUGUUUCUAAACUUUCCAAUAAAUCACCUUCUACUGACAA